AGACAGUUGGUAGAACUCAACAAAAAUCCAGUGGAAGGCUUUUCAGCAGGUUUGAUAGAUGACCAUGAUCUCGGGAAAUCCUUACUAUUGUUCUUCCUAAAAUAAAAUUCAUUAUAGAAAUCUGGAGCCCAAAUGUUGAUAAAAAUGAUGAAACAUGCAUUGCUAUUCUUCACAAGCCUGAAAAAGAUAAAUAUGGCUAUGAAAAACCUGAGGAACGCUGGCUGCCUAUUCCCACUGUGGAAACCAUCAUGAUUCGUGUCAUUUCUGUGCUGGUAGACCCUAAUGGAGACCCAUCUGCUAAUACUGAUGCUGUGAAAGAACGAAGACAGAAAUGGAAAGGUGCCUGCUGUGUAAGGAAAAGCCAAGAGACUGCUUUUGAGUGA
rnacentral:lncRNA from 1 species